AUGGCAGGUCCGGCGAAGGCACCGUGGAUGGUGGCGAUGAGCGUGGGCGCAAUCCACCGGGCAGCCAAGGCCAAGGCCAACGUCAGCGGCAGCGUCUCGCAGGGCGCCAAGCAGCUUCCGGCCUCCGCAGGGGCGGCGGCGGAGAGGCGGCGAGCGGAGAAGGCUGAGGAGGGGCUGAGGACGGUGAUGUACCUCAGUUGCUGGGGCCCCAAUUAG
rnacentral:rRNA from 1 species